rnacentral:tRNA from 1 species
GGUGGAGUUGGGGAGCGGUCAAACCCAAGAGACUGUAACUCUCUCGCGAAAGCUUCGCAGGUUCGAAUCCUGCCUCCACCACCA